rnacentral:lncRNA from 1 species
CUUGGCUAAAGCAGAGAUACACUCAGAAAGCCACAUUUGUUUUCUUUAAGCCACUGCUAGAUUAUGGUGAAUAACAAGUCACCAGAAGAACUUGUUGCCAGUCAUCACUCAAAAUGCUGCUGGGGAGGAAGCUGAGAUGACCAGAUUGAAGAAUAAAAAGGAUACCGGAUCCUUGAACCAGGAGGGAGAUCUUGCCCUGGCCUCACUUAGAAUGAACAUUUACAAUGGGAUUUUCCAAGAAAAUGCAUACAUUCGAAGGGGAUGGGCCACCACUUAUACAGAUGAAUGAAUUACCAGUAAGUGGCUCACAUACGUGUGUAAACUCUCGAUGAAGGAACAGACCACUGCCAGGAACAUACCAGGACACUCCAGGGUCGCUACCCACCACUGAUCCAUCUCCCAAGGAGACAAUAAGCACAGGUGAAUUUUGCUUUGUUCACUGUUGUAUUUGUCAGACAUG